AUUGAACGCUGGCGGCAGGCCUAACACAUGCAAGUCGAACGAGUGGCGGACGGGUGAGUAAUGUCUGGGAAACUGCCUGAUGGAGGGGGAUAACUACUGGAAACGGUAGCUAAUACCGCAUACCAUCAGAUGUGCCCAGAUGGGAUUAGCUCGUUGGUGGGGUAAAGGCUCACCAAGGCGACGAUCCCUAGCUGGUCUGAGAGGCUGACCAGCCAAACUGGAACUGAGACACGGCCCAGACGCCUACGGGAGGCAGCAGUGGGGAAUAUUGCACAAUGGGCACAAGCCUGAUGCAGCCAUGCCGCGUGUAUGAAGAAGGCCUUCGGGUUGUAAAGUACUUUCAGCGGGGAGGCGUUACCCGCAGAAGAAGCACCGGCUAACUCCGUGCCAGCAGCCGCGGUAAUUC
rnacentral:rRNA from 1 species